AAGGAAAGUAUUGGUGGUGAAUACAACACGUGACAGACAUUUGGCCGAUUUCCUGGAUAUUAUCAGAAAGGACAUCACGCCUGACCUCAUAAUAUUUGUCCUAACAUCGCCAGCAACAAAUAUAUCGUCAAAGACUGUGAAUGGCCGGAGGAUAUGAAGCAAGCUAUGAUAAAAAGAGCACAUCAGAACAAAGACGAGUGGAGCGAGACUGGUAUUCCUGCACUGUCCUUCUCCUCAGUUGAAGAAGGUGUGCGGCACAUAGAGCAAUUAGCCCAGUCCUCCAACCAGGAAACUGAUGUCCUGAUAACAGGAAGCUUACACUUGAUUGGAGCCUCACUCCAGGUCCUUCAUCCCACCUUUCUGGAGGAUGGAAUGGGUGGUGGAAAUCAGGAGGGUGCUCAGAAAGCAAACUCUGCCUGACUUGUGACUAGUUCUGAGGACGCGCCAGAUUUAUAACUUAUUUGAACUCAUCAUCACGUCACUUUCUCAUUCGAUUUUAGAGAGCUAGAGGAAAUUUUAUCGGACUCUAAGCUAGCUGCUAGAGGAAAUUUUAUCGGAUUCGUUGUCAACUUUUUUAGUUACCAUGCCCAUCACAAGAUUUGAAGGGGUCUGAGUCAUAUUUUUUUAUUUUUCUAAAUGUUUUCAGACUUAAUAUCGGAGGGUAAUUUAUUAAAGGUGUAGCAAUCGGUAAAUGAAUGGAAAUUCUAUUUUAUCAGAUUUUUUUAUUAUCUUCUGUAAAGAUGUUAAGAUGUAUAACGUGUUGUUAAUCUAUACCUAACUUUUUAAUAUUCAUUGUCUUACAAAAUA